AAGAUAUCAUGGUUCCUUUUCGAA
rnacentral:siRNA from 1 species